UACAGAGGUGGCAAGCGUUGUUCGGAAUUACUGGGCGUAAAGGGCGCGUAGGCGGUUCGUUAAGUCCUGUGUGAAAUCCCCCGGCUCAACUGGGGAACUGCACAGGAAACUAGCGGGCUUGAGUUCGGGAGAGGGAAGCGGAAUUCCGGGUGUAGCGGUGAAAUUCGUAGAUAUUCGCAAGAACACCAGUGGCGAAGGCGGCUCACUGGCCCGGUACUGACGCUGAGGUGCGAAAGCGUGGGGAGCAAACAGG
rnacentral:rRNA from 1 species